AAAGAAUUAGUUAAAAAAUAACAUAAAUAUGUCAAGUUUAAAUUAUUAUAAAAAUAAUAUUCUUUU
rnacentral:tRNA from 1 species